rnacentral:lncRNA from 1 species
ACUAAUUACGUAUAUUCGAAGGCAUUGGACUGUAAUUAUCCCUUAAUCAAUCACUCAUGCCUGAAUUUUAAGUUAGGCAUGAGCAUUAUCCUUCUAAGUUACACGCCAAGCUUUUCUGUUGAGGUUAUCAAAGUUGGGCCUCAAUAUUAUCCUUCUAAGUUACACGCCAAGCUUUUCUGCUGAGGUUAUCUUCAACUUCUUGCAUUUGCCAUUUCUUUUCCGUCUCAUAUUUGCGGCAGUAAUAAGUUUAUAUUCUGAGUGGGGCAUCUCGCUAAGCUUACCAAACCGUUCCUCAUAAAAGUGCCA